rnacentral:lncRNA from 1 species
GCCCCCAAAAAUAACCGCUCUGAGGCCGGGGCGCCAGGUUCGUCCAGCGGAAAAAGGCCACAAAAACGGGUGGGCUAUAGCCUUGGGGGGUGGGGCUGGCCAACUUCGUCCGCCGGACUCGGAAUGGCGCGAGACUUUGCGAGGGGCCUCCGUGUGCCAAAAAUAGGCUGUGAACAAAGCCGCGCCCAAAAAUAUCCAACCGAAGGCCGGGGCGCCAAGUUUGUCCAGCGGAAAAAGGCCACAAAAACGGGUGGGCUAUAGCCUUGGGGGGUGGGGCUGGCCAACUUUGUCCGCCGGACUCGGAAUGCCGCGUGACUUUGCGAGGGGCCUCCGUUUGCCAAAUAUAGGCGGUGGGCAAAGCCGUACCCAAAAAUAACCUCCCGAAGGCAGGGGCGCCAAGUUCGUCCAGCGGAAAAAGGCCACAAAAACGGGUGGGCUAUAGCCUUGGGGAGUGGGGCUGGCCAACUUCGUCCUCCGGACUCGGAAUGGCGCGAGACUUUGCAAGGGGCCUCCGUGUGCCAAAAAUAGGCCGCGGGCAAGGCCGCGCCCAAAAAUAACCGCCCGAAGGCCGGGGCGCCAGGUUCGUCCAGCGGAAAAAGGCCACAAAAACGGGUGGGCUAUAGCCUUGGGGGGUGGGGCUGGCCAACUUCGUCCGCCGGACUGGGAAUGGCGCGAGACUUUGCGAGGGGCCUCCGUGUGCCAAAAAUAGGCUACGAACAAAGCCGCGCCCAAAAAUAUCCAACCGAAGGCCGCGGCGCCAAGUUUGUCCAGCGGAAAAAGGCCACAAAAACGGGUGGGCUAUAGCCUUUGGGGGUGGGGCUGGCCAACUUCGUCCGCCGGACUCGGAAUGCCGCGAGACUUUGCGAGGGGCCUCCGUGUGCCAAAUAUAGGCGGUGGGCAAAGCCGUGCCCAAAAAUAACCGCCCGAAGGCAGGGGCGCCAAGUUCGUCCAGCGGAAAAAGGCCACAAAAACGGGUGGGCUAUAGCCUUGGGGAGUGGGGCUGGCCAACUUCGUCCUCCGGACUCGGAAUGGCGCGAGACUUUGCAAGGGGCCUCCGUGUGCCAAAAAUAUACCGCGGGAAAAACCGCCCCCAAAAAUAACCGCCUGAAGGCCGGGGCGCCAGGUUCGUCCAGCGGAAAAAGGCCACAAAAACGGGUGGGCUAUAGUCUUGGGGGAUGGGGCUGGCCAACUUCGUCCGCCGGACUGGGAAUGGCGCGAGACUUUGCGAGGGGUCUCCGUGUGCCAAAAAUAGGCUACGAACAAAGCCGCGCCCAAAAAUAUCCAACCGAAGGCCGCGGCGCCAAGUUUGUCCAGCGGAAAAAGGCCACAAAAACGGGUGGGCUAUAGCCUUGGGGGGUGGGGCUGGCCAACUUCGUCCGCCGGACUCGGAAUGCCGCGAGACUUUGCGAGGGGCCUCCGUGUGCCAAAUAUAAGCGGUGGGCAAAGCCGUGCCCAAAAAUAACAGCCCGAAGGCAGGGGCGCCAAGUUCGUCCAGCGGAAAAAGGGCACAAAAACGGGUGGGCUAUAGCCUUGGGGAGUUGGGCUGGCCAACUUCGUCCUCCGGACUCGGAAUGGCGCGAGACUUUACGAGGGGCCUCCGUCUGCCAAAAAUAGGCCGCGGGCAAGGCCGCGCCCAAAAAUAACCGCCCGAAGGCCGGGGCGCCAGGUUCGUCCAGCGGAAAAAGGCCACAAAAACAGGUGGGCUAUAGCCUCGGGGGGUGGGGCUGGCCCACUUCGUCCGCCGGACUCGGAAUGGCGCGAGACUUUGCGAGGGGCCUCCGUGUGCCAAAACUAGGCGGUGGUCAAAGCCGUGCCCAAAAAUAACCGCCCGGAGGCAGGGGCGACAAGUUCGUCCAGCGGAAAAAGGCCACAAAAACGGGUGGGCUAUAGCCUUGGGGGGUGGGGCUGGCCCACUUCGUCCGCCUGACUCGGAAUGCCGCGAGACUUCGCGAGGGACCUCCGUGUGCCAAAAAUAGGCCGUGGUCAAAGCCGUGCCGAAAAAUAACCGCCCGAAGGCGGGGCGCCAAGUUCGUCCAGCGGAAAAAGGCCACAAAAACGGGUGGGCUAUAGCCUUGGGGGGUGGGGCUGGCCCACUUCGUCCGCCGGACUCGGAAUGCCGCGAGACUUUGCGAGGGACCUCCGUGUGCCAAAAAUAGGCUGCGGCCAAUGCCGCGCCCAAAAAUAACCGCCCGAAGGCCGGGGCGCCAGGUUCGUCCAGCGGAAAAAGGCCACAAAAACGGGUGGGCUAUAGCCUCGGGGGGUGGGGCUGGCCCACUUCGUCCGCCGGACUCGGAAUGGCGCGAGACUUUGCGAGGGGCCUCCGUGUACCAAAAAUAGGCUGUGAACAAAGCCGCGCCCAAAAAUAUCCACCCGAAGGCCGGGGCGCCAAGUUUGUCCAGCGGAAAAAGGCCACAAAAACGGGUGGGCUAUAGCCUUGGGGGGUGGGGCUGGCCCACUUCAUCCGCCGGACUCGGAAUGCGGCGAGACUUUGCGAGGGGCCUCCGUGUGCCAAAAAUAGGCCGCGGGCAAUGCCGCGCCCAAAAAUAACCGCCCGAAGGCCGGGGCGCCAGGUUCGUCCAGCGGAAAAAGGCCACAAAAACGGGUGGGCUAUAGCCUUGGGGGGUGGGGCUGGCCCACUUCGUCCGCCGGACUCGGAAUGCCGCGAGACUUUGCGAGGGACCUCCGUGUGCCAAAAAUAGGCCGUGGUCAAAGCCGCGCCCAAAAAUAACCGCCCGAAGGCCGGGGCACCAAGUUCGUCAUGCGGAAAAAGGCCACAAAAACGGGUGGGCUAUAGCCUUGGGGAGUGGGGCUGGCCAACUUCGUCCUCCGGACUCGGAAUGGCGCGAGACUUUGCAAGGGGCCUCCGUGUGCCAAAAAUAGGCCGAGGGCAAAGCCGCCCCCAAAAAUAACCGCCUGAAGGCCGGGGCGCCAGUUUCGUCCAGCGGAAAAAGGCCACAAAAACGGGUGGGCUAUAGUCUUCGGGGGUGGGGCUGGCCCACUUCAUCCGCCGGACUCGGAAUGCGGCGAGACUUUGCGAGGGGCCUCCGUGUGCCAAAAAUAGGCUGCAGCCAAUGCCGCGCCCAAAAUUAACCGCCCGAAGGCCGGGGCGCCAGGUUCGUCCAGCGGAAAAAGGCCACAAAAACGGGUGGGCUAUAGCCUGGGGGGUGGGGCUGGCCCACUUCGUCCGCCGGACUCGGAAUGCCGCGAGACUUUGCGAGGGACCUCCAUGUGCCAAAAAUAGGCCGUGGUCGAAGCCGCGCCCAAAAAUAACCGCCCGAAGGCCGGGGCACCAAGUUCGUCAUGCGGAAAAAGGCCACAAAAACGGGUGGGCUAUAGCCUUGGGGGGUGGGCUGACCAACUUCGUCCGCCGGACUCGGAAUGGUGCGAGACUUUGCGAGGGGCCUCCGUGUGCCAAAAAUAGGCUACGAACAAAGCCGCACCCAAAAAUAACCGCCCGAAGGCCGGGGCGCCAAGUUUGUCCAGCGGAAAAAGGCCACAAAAACGGGUGGGCUAUAGCCUUGGGGGGUGGGGCUGGCCAACUUCGUCCGCCGGACUCGGAAUGCCGCGAGACUUUGCGAGGGGCCUCCGUGUGCCAAAACUAGGCGGUGGUCAAAGCCGUGCCCAAAAAUUACCGCCCGGAGGCAGGGGCGACAAGUUCGUCCAGCGGAAAAAGGCCACAAAAACGGGUGGGCUAUAGCCUUGGGGGGUGGGGCUGGCCCACUUCGUCCGCCUGACUCGGAAUGCCGCGAGACUUUGCGAGGGACCUCCGUGUGCCAAAAAUAGGCCGUGGUCAAAGCCGUGCCGAAAAAUAACCGCCCGAAGGCGGGGCGCCAAGUUCGUCCAGCGGAAAAAGGCCACAAAAACGGGUGGGCUAUAGCCUUGGGGGGUGUGGCUGGCCAACUUCGUCCGCCGGACUCGGAAUGACGCGAGACUUCGCGAGGGGCCUUCGUGUGCCAAAAAUAGGCUGCGAACAAAGCUGCGCCCAAAAAUAACCGCCCGAAGGCCGGGGCGCCAAGUUUGUCCAGCGGAAAAAGGCCACAAAAACGGGUGGGCUAUAGCCUUGGGGGGUGGGGCUGGCCAACUUCGUCCGCCGGACUCGGAAUGCCGCGAGACUUUGCGAGGGGCGUCCGUGUGCCAAAUAUAGGCGGUGGGCAAAGCCGUGCCCAAAAAUAAC